GGCGGGGCCGGUGGUCACGCAGGCGCAGCCCCUACGCGGUGAGGCGUGUCGCGGGUCGCUCCCCCGGGGUCAGGGUCACCAAAACUCCCGCAGGCCUUUCCCCCGGGCCACUGGGGGCCUGUUACCAGCAGUCGCCGCCCUGCCUUGCCUGCCUGGGUGAAUCAGGUGCUAAUCGAAGCCUUGGUCUUGCAGGCUCCCCGGCCUGGGUUUUCUGAGUGCUGCCGAUUUAGGCCGGGUGGGGGGAUUCCUACGGCCCUGCCGCACCCACGGAGAGCGAGAAGGCUCAGCCGGUGCAGAAAGGAGGGCUCGGUGACUCAUCUCUGGGAUGACCUAACCUCCCGACCCUGGCGGAGCAGAUGUCCGGAUGUCAGACGUCAUACCGUGACUUUGGACGGCCAGUGUGUCCCCUUCAGAUUAUAAACUGGCUCUGGUAGCUGCAUGGGUAUGUUGAUACAGUUGCUUCCGGAAAGCCCCUUUCCUUGCUAAGCAACACGGUAAUGUCUGCGUUGUGGUUCUGCCUGGAGUGGAAUACUUUCUAACCUGUAGCAGAAUUGUUACUGUCCAAAAAGAGAGUACGUAUCCAGUUGACUGCGUGGGGCCAUACGAGCAGCCUGACCGUGAGCAUGGCCCCUUCAGUGACCUCAGCGUCUGAAAGGCCACUAAUUUCCAGCCCUCCAAGCAGUCUCCUGAGUAUGAACUUGGUUUCCUCCUUCCACUUAAGAGGUUUGGGGACCUCAGAUCUCAGAGCGCUGACAACUGGAGAGUGUGGCGUCAGGGGAAGACAGCAGGAGGAAUGAAUACCCAGCUCAUCUGGGUGCAAGGACACACACCAAGUACUUCCCUGUAGUACUGUUUUCACGGUCUCCAGAUCUUCCUAAAACCCUAUUCAAAGUGACCACAUGGCCUGCAAUCUAGUGGAGAGUGGGAUAGUCCCUAAGUGUCCCUGGUCAGAGGAUCUGUCUGCAUUUACCACACCUGCAUGCCCAGCUGCCCUCUUGGAGGCGUACUUCUGCUUCUUCAAAUGCCUUUGGUGGUUGGGGGCGGCCCUGAAGUGAAGACACAAGAGAAGAUGGCAAGAGAAGCCCCAGCUCUGAGAAACAGCUGGGCAAGGGCAGCUCUCCUUAGGGAAACUGACCCCCAUCUGCUGAAUGUUACUUUAGAGUUCUUUCCUACUGAAGAGCUUCAUGUUGGUUACUUUUGUUUGUUUUUUUCCCCCUUUUAUGUGAAACAGAAAUUGAACUAGAUCUGAAGACAUUA